GGAAUCCGAUUUUUUAGAAAUUGUCUUCAAUGAUCCACUCAUGAUUGGUGAUUUUGGUUUAGCAUGAUGUGAGACAGUAGAUAAUUAGUUUUAUGUUCUCCACUCCAUAGAUAACAGAUUAUUUCAUUAUAUAUGAAAUUGCUUGGGAGUUGGGAAGAAUUUUCAGCUGACAAGCAACAGUUGUGAUAAGAUAUUCAGAUUAUUUGUUUUCCUAGAGAGCAAUGCAAGCAGAGAAAGAAAACAUGAUUUUAUCUCUGGUUUUAUUCAAAAUUUACCUUAGUUACAACAUUAAACUUAUUCUUUUCUCAUCAACAAUAAAAGCUAAAUAGCCUUGCUGGUAAGGGGGGUGUAGUUACAUAGGUCAGAAUUUAUCACCCCAUUAAAUGAUUCUUUUCUCAACUUGAAAUUUCAAAAUUGUCAAUGAAGGUUUAGUAAUAUCUGAUUUUGUUAUCCUGAGAUAUUCGAAAGGUGAUUACCAUCGUCUAUGUUUUGCGUUCUCUUGUAAGCCUUCACAAUUUAAAUCCCAAGUACCUAAUACAAUUAAUUUGACAAAAAAUUACGCUCAUUUUUUAUUACCAAA